UACGGAGGGGGCGAGCGUUAUUCGGAAUUAUUGGGCGUAAAGGGCGCGUAGGCGGCUUGGUAAGUCAAAGGUGAAAUCCCUCGGCUCAACUGAGGAACUGCCUUUGAAACUGCCUGGCUUGAGGCCGGGAGGGGGUAGCGGAAUUCCCAAUGUAGCGGUGAAAUGCGUAGAUAUUGGGAGGAACACCAGUGGCGAAGGCGGCUACCUGGACCGGUUCUGACGCUGAUGCGCGAAAGCGUGGGGAGCAAACAGG
rnacentral:rRNA from 1 species